CUGGGAAGCCUGUGUACUGGAGGAUUGUUGAUUAACACUGAAAGUAAUUCAUACUGCAUCAUAUUUGCUAUGUUCUGCAUUGCAUUUAUCACCAUUAUUGUAUAAUACUACAGUUCACCUAUCCUCAACAGCCUGUUCCAGUACUAUUGCUACUCCAGUGGGGGAAUGCGUCAAACCUCCUACACCUGUAUCUGUGGAACGACAUCCUUCAAGCCACUAUAACAGUCCCAAGCCCUCAGGUUUUCAGUUCAAAGCUCUACAGUUCAACUGUAUCAUCAGAACAUGCAGCUGGCAGUAGAGAUAACAUUUAGUCUUGACAUUUUGGAGCCCAAGCUUUACUGUACUGUUUGUGCCACUGGCA
rnacentral:lncRNA from 1 species